rnacentral:rRNA from 1 species
GACGAACGCUGGCGGCGUGCUUAACACAUGCAAGUCGAACGGAAAGGCCCUGCUUUUGUGGGGUGCUCGAGUGGCGAACGGGUGAGUAACACGUGAGUAACCUGCCCUUGACUUUGGGACAACUUCAGGAAACUGGGGCUAAUACCGGAUAGGAGCUCCUGCUGCAUGGUGGGGGUUGGAAAGCUUCGGCGGUUGGGGAUGGACUCGCGGCUUAUCAGCUUGUUGGUGGGGUAGUGGCUUACCAAGGCUUUGACGGGUAGCCGGCCUGAGAGGGUGACCGGCCACAUUGGGACUGAGAUACGGCCCAGACUCCUACGGGAGGCAGCAGUGGGGAAUAUUGCACAAUGGGCGGAAGCCUGAUGCAGCAGCGCCGCGUGCGGGAUGACGGCCUUCGGGUUGUAAACCGCUUUCGCCUGUGACGAAGCGUGAGUGACGGUAAUGGGUAAAGAAGCACCGGCUAACUACGUG